rnacentral:rRNA from 1 species
UACGGGGGGAGCAAGCGUUGUGCGGAUUUACUGGGCGUAAAGGGCGCGUAGGCGGUCAGCACAAGUCAGUUGUGAAAUCUCCGGGCUUAACUCGGAAAGGUCAACUGAUACUGUGCGACUAGAGUGCAGAAGGGGCAACUGGAAUUCUCGGUGUAGCGGUGAAAUGCGUAGAUAUCGAGAGGAACACCUGCGGCGAAGGCGGGUUGCUGGGCUGACACUGACGCUGAGGCGCGAAAGCCAGGGGAGCGAACGGG